UGCCGCUGACGGAGCCGGCCCCUCCCCUAAGGGAGAGAGGGUGGGCGGAGCGUUCGGUGGGCGCGAGAGCAGGGCCCGAGCCGGCCUGGGAGCUUGCCGAGCCGAUCGCGGCCAGCGGAGCGCCUGGGCGGCGGCGGCGGCGGCGGCUGCGUGCGCGAUGGCUCCGGCCGCGGACCGCGAGGGCUACUGGGGCCCCACGACGUCCACGCUGGACUGGUGCGAGGAGAACUACGCGGUGACCUGGUACAUCGCCGAGUUCUGGAAUACAGUGAGUAACCUGAUUAUGAUUAUACCUCCAAUUUUUGGUGCAAUUCAGAGUGUUAGAGAUGGACUGGAAAAGCGGUACAUUGCUUCUUAUUUAGCACUCACAGUGGUAGGAAUGGGAUCCUGGUGCUUCCACAUGACUCUGAAAUAUGAAAUGCAGCUAUUGGAUGAACUCCCAAUGAUUUACAGCUGUUGUAUAUUUGUGUACUGCAUGUUUGAAUGUUUCAAGAUGAAGAACUCUGUAAACUACCAUCUGCUUUUUAUCUUAGUUCUUUUCAGUUUAAUAGUAACCACAGUUUACCUUAAGGUAAAGGAGCCUGUAUUCCAUCAGGUUAUGUAUGGAAUGUUGGUCUUCACAUUAGUACUUCGAUCUAUUUAUAUUGUUACAUGGGUUUAUCCAUGGCUCAGAGGACUAGGUUAUACAUCCUUGGGCAUAUUUUUAUUGGGAUUUCUGUUAUGGAACAUAGAUAACAUAUUUUGUGAUUCACUGAGGAACUUUCGAAAGAAGAUGCCACCUAUCAUAGGUGUUGCCACACAGUUUCAUGCAUGGUGGCAUAUUUUAACUGGCCUUGGUUCUUAUCUUCACAUCCUUUUCAGAAAAGGAACUUCUGGACAGCUAAAUAAGAAUCAUUGAAUUAAUGCUGUGAAGAGCUCAAGGUUAUUAAUCAUGGAAGAGCUCUUAAACUUUGGCUUUUGUAUACAAGAACUCUUUACCUGAAAUACAGGCCAAAAGUGAAGUUUCUCUUCGGAAUCUGGCCAGUGAUCCUGUUUGAGCCUCUCAGGAAGCACUGAUGAAUUAUUCCAGGAAAACAAAAAAAGCAUCUACCAUAGGCCUGGCCAAAUGAAUAAGGAAAUCCUUAAAGAUCUACACAUUCAAAUAUAUUAUGACCAUCACAGCAAAGGAGUGACUUUCUAACUAAUGCUGCCAGUCACACAGAGAAUAAGGAAUAGUCUUGUUGGAUAUUGAGUUCGCGUCUUUAUCUCAUUUGUCCCUUCUCCUCCUCACCCUCACCCUAAGAUGUUUAAAAAGAAACAGAUACGAUGUGUGUAUAUAUAGUUGAAUGCUGGAAAAAUGAGGCUUUUCUUAACAGGUUAACAGUUCGUGCUGAUCAUAGGAAAUUUAACCUUUUUUCCUUUUUUGACAAGGGUUGCAUGUAAAUUAUACUUUGCUUAAUAUUUGAUUAAAUGAUCCAAACAGUCAGCUAAGUAUUGGCAAAACCCCAUACCCAGAUGGCCAGCUGUGGAGCUGGCCGUGUCAGCCUUGAUUUGUGUUCUUGUCGUAGUAACCUCAUGAAUGGUUUUCCAAGGUGAAAAAGAGCUAUCUGUGGGAUUCUGGUAGUUCCUCACGGUCUGCCCUUGUGCUAGUCAGCAUGUCAUAAGCAAGCUCCAACUGGCCACUCGGUUCCCUACUUGCCAUACCCCAGAUUUGCAGUGGGUUCUGGGGUGUCUGUGUGUGGCCACCGCCAAUCGGAGUUGAGUGGGUCACCUUGUAGAGUUUGCAAAGACCACAAGGACACCUGUGGGAUGUUGUGCCUCCAGGCUGUUAGUUAAAGGUGGUUUCUCUGUUUUCUUUGAUCUUUGCAGAUCUUUAAGUUGUCACUGGUUUUAUGGCUAGGCAAACAUGAUUGGUGGUCUGGCCUGCCAAUAUUCCACCCUCUUGACGGAACUUAUUUGAAGUUACCAGUGAAUGUUGUUUGUUAUACUCUUUAUAAACUAUGCCAUAUUUUCCAGUUUUCAGAGGGGCCUUGGUUAUGCCCAGGGAAAUGUAUCAGGUUAACUAGAGCUAAAAUGAUCAGGAUCCUAUUUACAUAAAGCUUAUUAGAAUGCCUGCCCCUUCAUUUGUUGAAGGAAAUAGAUACAAGAGUUGAGAAUGGCUCUCACUUGAACGAACUCCCCAAAAUUAAAAUACUAAAAAAUGGCAGUGAAAUAUCAUCACAAAGCAGCUAGUUCUGAUUUGGGUUCAGAUGUAUAACAAAUUGAAUUACAUUUCACAAACAUAACACCGAUCUGGAGUAAAACCUUAUUUGACCCCUUUGCCUGAGGUAUCACUGUAUUGGUAGCUCUGUACCACUUGGCAUUUUUGCGACUUUAUUAUAAAACCCAGAUUGUUUUUACCGCGUGGUGACAUUGACCCAGAUUAAAUCCUGAAGCUACAGCCUCAAAAGGAAAAUCAUUUUUUUCUUCUGCAAAGGUAUAAAAACACUCCUGUCAUUUUCCCAGUAUCCAGUAAGUCGCCUUUGUACAAAUUUAAAACCAGUACAGAUUUUGUUGUUCUUCUUCACCUUCUGGCCUUAGUUUUAGUCCAAGAACUAUUUUCCUUACCAAAGCAUGCCAACACGCCAUUAGGCAUAAACUUCUGCCUACUUUUAUGAUCCUCGAGCAGGAAAAGCACUUGCCAAAAUAAAUCUAAAGAACUUUGGUUGUGCCUUAAGAAAACCUAAAACUAAACAGUUCUAAUACACAGCCUGUAAGACUGUUCUUUCGCCAUAAGAUUCUGACUUCUGGCUACAUUUCAUGUGCAGCUACCUAGGCUAUCAGCCAUCUUACAUUUUUCAAAUAGGUUCAUUUGUUUCACACCAUUGUCUUUUGUACUUUUCACUCAAGCUACACUUCUGUGUAAAGAACCUAUGUUUGGCAAGAAAGGCACAGCCUUCUUGAUAGCACAGCCAGGCGCAGGGAGACUGAGGCUGUGCAUAUCACAGACAAGGUGUGGAGAGCCCCCACUGAUACCCAAGCCCUUUCCAGCAGUUUGCUGAACGAACAGUUCAGCCACCACCCCCUGUAGUCACUUGCUGAAUGAAGUUGUCCAGCACCUCCGUGGAGAAGCACGGGCACCACUGGCUGACUUGUAACGCUGUGGCCACUUGUUCAGAGACCCUUGUCUCUGCUGUGAAAACAGCUGGCAUGGAAGCAGAAAGCAUUUUAGAAGUGUUGAGCAGAAAGCAGAGACUGAAUCCAGGCUCUAACUCUCCCAAGUUCGCCUGUGCCUCACAUACGGCUCUCUUUCUAGCAGCCUAAGUAUUAGCACACUCAAGACUUCUUUUCUGUGCCAUAGCGAGUAUUAUGGAAAUACUGCUGACCUUCAGGGUAUUGCUAAAUCAACUUUAUUUGAAUGGCUUUAUUUUUCCCUUCUAGGAUUCCAGGUAGGCAUUGUAGGGUUGGGUUCCCUUUACUUCCUUGGCAGACUUCCUAAACUAGAGUAUACAAAAACCGAUUUCCUGCUGAGCAAACAUAUCUGAUGUGAAAGGUGCUCCUCUGUGAGCCCUGUAGCAAAUUACAUUUUAGAAAAUACUAGUAUCUUAUGAGGAUAUGAAAGGAGCAGUUGGCCUGUGUAUCUUAAUAUCCUGCCAUUUUCACUCCAGAAAAUUGAAAGCAAUUUGACUUUUUUUCAAGGAAAAACUAAAUGAUAGGUGGUUGUCCUAAUCUGGUUGGUCACUCCACCCACCCCUCCCCACCGUGGUGCUUUCAUGAAAACAUUGCCAACACCUGAAGUGAUCUCUUUUAUCUUUGCGAUAUUGUAUAAAUUGAUGAUUGGGGAUAAAUUGAUGACAAACAUUUGUUUUUGAUUAAUUUACAAAUGAGAACCUCAAGUAGUGUAUUUGGUUUAGUAGAAUCAGAUAAAAUAUUAUGGUUUACCCUAAAUGCACAGUUUCCAGGACCAUUAAACUAGUCUUUCCUUACACUAAGAAUGUUUUACUUAUACUGAUGAAGUUUUGGGGUGAUGGUGGGGUAGUCUAGAGCUGACAAGAAAGAAUUCUUGAAGAUGCCUUUGGUGCAAAGGAUUUUAUUAAAACAAGGAGACAGGACCCAUGGGCAGGAAGAGCUUCAUGGGGUCAUAAUAGGUAGCUCAUUACAUACCCUCAGGUUGGGAGGGGGUCAGGGAUAGAGUAAGCCUCUAAGGAAUUUUGGAAGCAAGGUUUCCAGGAUCUUGAGGGGCUAGCUGGUGCUAGGGAAAUGCCACUUAUUACCACUUAAUAAACCCUCAGUCAUGAGACCCUUUAGAUGUAUAUCGAGGGCCCAUAAACUUGGAGUAUGAUCUCCAGCAUAUAUUUUGGGAGAGUUGAGACAAAGGAAGUUGACUUAUAGGAUCCUCGAGGUUGGGAUAAUGUUAACCCAGGGUUCUCUUUUGCCCCCAGCAAAGUGUCAUCCUUGAAGCAGCUGAGCUAGAGGGAGGUCACUCUGCUGGUCUCAAGGACUUGUCAGUGGGCUCUAGGCAGUAAGGGAAUUUAAUUUUUCAUUUGCCUUAGUUUCCCACGUUACCAUGGCAAGCAUUUAAACCCCUUUCCUUUGUUCUUGGGUAGCCAGGAGUAUCCGAGGACUAUCACACAUUCCACCUGGUGGGGGGAGGGGGGUGGUGUGCCAGCCUGUAUUUUGCCCUCAGCUUGCCUCAUGCUCCCCCAUCAAUACUAAAGAUAAAGAGGUCAGAGUCAAAAUCAAGAGACCAAAAAUUUUGCAUGAAAAUCUUUACAUGCCAAAAAAAAAAAAACCCAAAAAAACUAUAUUCUAUUUAAGAGUUGAUUUUUAAUAAUCUCUACACCCAACAUGAGGCUCAAACAUACAACCCAAGAUCAAGAGUCACAUGCUCUACUGACUGAGCCAACCAGGCACCCCAAAACUAAGUUCUGUUUUAAUGCCUACUCCUUCAGAAUUUAGCCAGUGCCCCUUAAAGUGUAAUAAUUUAGUUUUAAGGUUUUCUUAUGACUCGUAUGGGUUCCACAUUACUUUGCUCUUGAAAAGAAAAAAGAAUCAUGUGUUGCAAAGUUUUAAUAGUUUUAACUCUCAGUUGCACGUUUACAUGGCAAAAGAAAUUAUUAUAACCCUGUGGUUUAUGAUGUGCUACUGGAUAAAUAUUUAUAUAAAACUGAUGUUUCAAAGAGAGUCAGUUAUAAUUGGAACUUGCAGACUGUAUGGCAAUUUGCAGAUCUACCUCUGUUUUACAUUUUGCCUCUUAUCGGUGCCAUAAUGUAAUUAGUUUGAUUGCAUUAGUUUGUCUUGUUUUUCAGUGUCUAAAAUUACAGUUUACUCACUGUGCUGUAAACAUUUGAAAAUAAUGACUAAAAUUUGGCUAAAAGUAUUUAAACGCCUUUGUAGCGAGGGCUAUAAAAUGAAAAAAAAAAAAUAGUCAUGGCCCAUCUGAAUGGAAAACUUCAAUGCUAUUUUUUAAACUCUUGCACUUCAAGAAUAAGGAAACUUUUAAAUGUCUAAUUGUAGUUGCUAGAUGAGAAAUUGCCAGUUUUGCUGGGGUUCCUGUGAGCAUGCUGCUGGACUUAACAAUGUCUCCUGUUGGGGAGGAAAAAUCUCUCCUUUACCCUCUUAGAUUCAGUAGUUGAGGGCCUGGGAAUUAAACUGACAAAUGAGAGACGAGCAAGAGAAAAUGUAGAUUUUUAUUCGCAUGACACAGAGCAUUCAGAGAAAGGUGGGGCCGGAGGCAGGAUUUGGGGCUUAUAUACCAUCUUAACAAGGGGAGGGGAGGGAAAGAGAGGGCACUGAGGGGAAAACAAAUGAUGUUCAGAAUGGAUAAACGGGCCCUUAGGAGAAUAGAUGGGAGAUUGGAUAGUUUUGUGACAAUGUCUGCUCAUUUGUGAUGCCAGAGUCAAAACUACAACAGUUGAGUUCUUUGGGGGAGGUUCUGCUUUUAGGCAGAUAAAAAGGGAGUUCAGGGAAAAAAGCCUCUUCCUAUAUCUGUUGAUUCUCAAAUGCCGUUAGCACAAAAUAACUGUUAUGCCACAGUGGUACGUGCCCCCUCCCCACAUCUAAGACUUCCUUUAUUUCCCCUAAGACUUCCCAAGAUGUUUCAAGGACCAGAAGCGGAGAUGGUGGCUGUGGAGAGAAGAUUCAGGUUGGAAGUUGGGAGGUAGGAGAUCUGCAAAGGGAAAGAAGGCAUAGAUUCAUGGAGAAAGAAAAGGAAAAACACAAAUUAGUAGUUGGAGCAGAUUAUAAACUCAGUUUGAGUGCAGAGGACAGGCAGUCAAAAGGAUUUCUAAACACUGGUCUUGAAGUGUCUUUAAAAGGCAGAGUCAGAAUGGUAAUGGCAGUCUCACAGUCAUGGAUAUUUCCUGGAGCUCUGGUGAACUUCCUGAGUGGCCCAAACCGUUGUGAUAAAUCCUUUGAAGUUCCCUUCAGCUUGCAGGGCUUAAGGAAAUGGGCGCCUAUCGGUGCCGAAUCAGGAGGGUGGAAGAAAAUUGGAAAAGUUAUUUACUGACAAAAUACACAAGGUGGCAUGAUCCAGCUUACAAAGAGGUGAAAAUAGCUCAAAGAGAAUGAACAGGACUAGAAUCUGAUAAUCCACAAUGGUGGGUUAUAGUUUUCCAUUGAAACCUAAAAUUACCCCCAUUUUCAUCAAAGAUAAUCGAGGUAAGACUGUUUUUGUUUGUAGCAAGUCUAGUCUUACCAAAUUUGACCUGGUUGUAAGUGUAGCAAGAAUAGUAAUUGACGUCAUAGUCCUUUUUAAGUUUGUUUGGCUGGAACUUUUAUUAGGGAUCUCAGAUUGGACUUUUAAACGCCUCAAAGCUAGGGGUGCCUGGGUGGCUCAGGUUAUCUCACAGUCUUCAGUUCAGGUUGUCUCACAGUUCGUGGGUUCGAGCCCUGCGUCAGGCUUGAUGCUAACAGCUCAGCCUGGAGCCUGCUUCGGGUUGUGUCCCCCUCUCUCUCUGCCCCUCCCCUGCUCAUGCUCUGUCUCUCAAAAAUAAAAUAAACAUUAAAAAAAUAAAAGCCUCAAGGCUGGGAGAACUCACCAUCAGACUUCACUACAGAUUUGGGUGAAUUCCUUCUCAGGAUCCCCAAAAUAUCCUAAAUUUCUGGGCCUGCCAGGAAGUAUCCUUCCUUACUCACCUGGAAGGCUGGGAAUCCUGUAAGCCAGGCAGGUUGUCCAGGAAGGCGUUAUAAGCUCUGGCUCCUUAAAGUCCACCUUAGUUUCUUAAAACUGGUCAUCUCUGAUUCUGUGCACACCAUUCUCAAAUAUGACAUUCCAGUCAAAGCCUAAUAUAACCAGUGUUUCAAAUUGUCUCUUGUUAUAAAGAGAACAAAUUCUUACUGAACAUCCAAAUACUGCCAUGAAAAUAACAUUCAGUAAGAGUUUCCAGACUCUGGACGGAUGAGGCAGGGAGAAAAGAUAAAUGUUUGUUUUUGUUUACAAAGACGUAAUCUACUGAACUGCUGUGUGGUAUAUAGAUCAUUUAACAGAAAGGGUUUCUGAAACCAAAAAAAAAAAAAAUGAAAAACAUUAAAGAACCAGCAAUAUUCUAAGCAAAGGUCACAGAAGAAAUCAUAAUCAUUCUUUAUCAGUGUACUCAGUCUCACGUGAUAACUUCAGGUGUUUCUUGAUUUGGGAUUAGCAGUUUUAUGAAUCCACAAGCUUUUCUGUUUGUUCUAGAAACCAUUUGUCCAGGGAUAUGAUCUUAAAAUUACCUCAACAAUGACAUCAGAAGCCUGUACCCCCAAGUACCUAUUGUAGUCUUUACCAUGGGUCCGUGAGACAGUCUUUUUUUGUAAAACAAUAUCUUUGAGUGACAAAAGGCUUUAAAUGGCCAUGGUUAAAGAUUUGAUAAAGAGUUCUUUAUAAUGUAGUUGACAAGGAAAUGUAGUCGUCCCUGUAACAUUCACUUUAGAUAACUGGAGGUGUGACUAAUCGCUUUCUACCAGGACAUGGACAGCUAGGACGUUGACAAAUUUCCAACAAUCCAAGAAACUUUUUCCUUUUAGGAAGGAAUUUCAACGUCUAGUUUUGCAUCCAUAUACUAUUGGGCUCAUUUCUUAAAAAAAAAAAAAAUUAAAAAUAAAUGCAUUCAAUCAGCCAGUUUACCCACAUGAAUAAGAUAUUCCCCGCUUUUUUUUUUCUCUCCUCCACUCCUGCCCCCUUCUGUAGACCCUUUACAGCUUUCUAUGCCCAUGCGGGAUUUUGUCCUUUCCUCUUCCUUCCUCAUUCUGGAACAGCCUUUUUACAACCUCUGUGCAACUACUGUAGGAUAAAAUUGCUUUCCUUUUUUUCUUAACAAAACACAUCUUUCAUACCUUUCAGGCCUUUCGAGAUGCGUCCCUUCUUUAUUGUUUCUAGUACUCUCACUUACAUAUAUUGAUUAGCAUUCUUAGCCCCUAAUAACCUUAAUUUCCAGUGAAAAUGAGGAAGUUGACAGUUGUGAACUACCACAUAUCAGCAUUCUGUAAAUUAGCAUAUUUAUGAAUGUACCACUUCAACUUCCAGAGGUAGCUGCUUCUUUAUAAUACAAUUUAUUUUUUUUUAAGUUUUUAUUUUAUUUAUUUUGAGAGUGAGAACAGGAAAGGGGCAGAGAGAGGGAAAGAGAGAAUCCCAAGCAGGCUCUGCACUGUCAGCACGGAGCCUGACAUGGGGCUCGAGCCCAUGAACUGUGAGAUCGUGACCUGAGCCGAAAUCAAGAGUCGGAUGCUCAACCAACUGAGCCACCCAGGUGACAGUCUCUGGUACAGUUUCGUAAUGUGGUGAAAGAACAUGUUUAUUAACAGGUCCCAAACAUCUUUGGUCUUUCCGUAAAAAUAAGUCAAAGGUAGAUAAACUUAUGUUUUGCAAUUAACGUUUUAGUAUUUUAUUUGGAACUGACCUACACUCAGAAGCAGACAACUGCUUCACUUGAAUGCAAACUGAAGACACAACUCUGGCUUGGGAGCACAAACUUUGACGUUAGAUACUAAACCCUUGACACCCUUGAGGGGAAAGUGGAAACUGUGAGGGAUAGCCAGUCUCAUCAAGCAACAAUUCUUUCCCUGACAGGCGAUCAGAGCUGCUAAGAAGACCGAUCACUGAGGAAAUGAAGCAGUAUUAUUAGCUACAGGAUUUCUGCCGUUGCAGACGCACCACUUGGCCAUUUGCAAUACCGACCCCGUUUUUAACUCACUUUAAAUAGUGAAUUGAAUUAUUUCACAUUAAUGAAUUCACUCACAUUAAAUGUGGAUGUUAUUUCACAAGGCCUUCAUUUAUCAUUAAAUCCAGCAAAUGACUGCUUGUUUUGAUUGGCAGACAAUGAUCACGAGAAUAUUUCCUACUACAAAACCCUAAAAACUCAAAAAAUUCAACCACCGGUCUGCAGGUGGCCUAAAAUCGCCCCCCUCUAUUUAGCCCAGCCAGCAGCUGUUGGUAUUCUAGCACCAACCACAGGUCACACUUUGCUCACGGUUCCUUUUCACCCCUUCUCAACAAGACCUGCUUCAUUGCUUUAGAGUGCAACGUUGAUACUUGAACUAGAGUUCGUCACUGGUAAUUUGAAUAUUCACAAAAUUAUCAUAAAAGAAGCUUUAUUUGAGACUUCUGGCAAAGCCAGAUCUGCAGAACAUCGCUUUUGCAUUGAGUUGGCCCAAGUAACUAAGGUUGCAGCAGAGCACAUUUAUUAGACAAAUCUUUAAGCACAUAAAUAUGGUUCACUGCAGAUACUCAUCCUGAGAUCAUCUGCACCUAAAACAAAAUGUUUUAUGAGACCAUUUUGCUCUAGACCAGGGAUUGGCAAACUAUAGCCCACAGACCCAUCCAGUCUGCGGUUGUAUGGCCUGCAAGGUAAGAAUGAUUUUUACAUUUUAACGGUGUUAUUUAAACAUACAAAAAGAAAAAGAAUAAGCAACAGAGAGGUGUGUGGCCUGCAGUGCCUCGAAUAUUCACGAUCUGGUUCUGGGAUUUUGCCCUCUUCUCUAGGCCUUCAGCAAACGAACUCCAUAAUGGAAGUACGGUACUUCCCUCCACACUUCUCUGCAGGAUGACUGGUGUAUUUGUCGGCAGGAAAAUAUGUUCUGCACUUAAGACCUCUCUCACUUCUUUGUUGAAUGUAGUAAUAGCAUUUGUGUUUAAAUAUUGACACUCUAACACCAUUUCUUCAUAUCAGUUUUACUAGAUUGUCAACAGCCUGCUGCAAAGUGCCUAAACCUUUGGGGAAAAAAUUAUGUGAUUUUGUUUUCUUUAUGAAGGAAAUUCCAUUCCAUACUGUAAAAUCCAACAAUGCUAGGUGCAUAGUCAUGGGUACUUCUUUUUUUUUUUUCUUUCUAAAAGAAAAAGUUCGAAGCCCUUUCCACAAUUAGUCCUUGUUUCUUUUUGCCUUUUCUUUUUAGAGCUAAAUUACUUAAUAGCAAUUAACAAGUGAGUCUAUUUUAAUAGGUAUUGCCAAUUUCUGUUGAAUGUACUGAUCAGGCAUUGUUUACUGUCCAGCAUUUUCAUACUUGUAAUAUUUCUGAGUCAUUAAUGUGACCAACAGAUAAACUGUUCAAGCUAAUGUAAAGGUUCCUGGUUUCAUUUUGGUGCAAACGUCUGUUCUACUAGCAAUUAUUUAAUAAACAUAGGUUGUACUGAGUCUAUACAAGGAACUAACCAUUUUCAGGUGAUCUCAGAUCUGCUUAUUCACUUUCUCCAUUUGAUUUGCCUGUGCCGCAAUCAUUUUUCUAGACGAUAGUAGAACUAUGUAUUUUUAUCUAAUCUGCUAUAAUCUAGGCUAUAUUUCAUUAAUUACCUCUCUAUAGGUGAAAGUAUUAAAAACAAUACUGUUUUGAAUAAGA